ACACUCCUACGGAGGCAGCAGUGGGGAAUUUUGGACAAUGGGCGAAAGCCUGAUCCAGCCAUGCCGCGUGCAGGAUGAAGGCCUUCGGGUUGUAAACUGCUUUUGUACGGAACGAAACGGCCUUUUCUAAUAAAGAGGGCUAAUGACGGUACCGUAAGAAUAAGCACCGGCUAACUACGUGCCAGCAGCCGCGGUAAUACGUAGGGUGCAAGCGUUAAUCGGAAUUACUGGGCGUAAAGCGUGCGCAGGCGGUUAUGUAAGACAGUUGUGAAAUCCCCGGGCUCAACCUGGGAACUGCAUCUGUGACUGCAUAGCUAGAGUACGGUAGAGGGGGAUGGAAUUCCGCGUGUAGCAGUGAAAUGCGUAGAUAUGCGGAGGAACACCGAUGGAGAAGGCAAUCCCCUGGACCUGUACUGACGCUCAUGCACGAAAGCGUGGGGAGCAAACAGGAUUAGAAACCCCAGUAGUCCCAUG
rnacentral:rRNA from 1 species